rnacentral:lncRNA from 1 species
CUCAUCUAAGUGUGCAGCUUGGAUCUUUAAAAAAUCUGAAUGGGGCGAUGGUAUUAUAGUAUCCAUAUAUGAGUGAAGUGUGUUUCUUAAUGAUUUUAUGCACUAACUGGAGUAUGUUCUUCCAAAUCAUUGCUGUUGAUAAGGACGGAAAUACAUGGAUCAAAAUACAGAAGCCACAUGGUGAUGCAAUCUCCAUCCAUGAAGUCCACGGUCAGUUGUGUGUAUGUACUGCUGAUAAUUACAAUAUGACUCAGCUUUCAAUCUAGAUCCUUGAAGAUUAUGGUAGUAAUAAUUGGACAUUGAAGCAUACGGUGACCACGCUGGAGAUAUUUAGACGGAACAAUAUUCAAUUUAGUUAUGAGGUUUGUGAUGCGGUGUUAGAGUGAUUACAGGUCACCUAGAAUGGGAUUUGAUUUUCCUUGUUGGGUUGGACAGAACAGUGCUUACAUAUAUAUGACUUCAACCAUAGAAAAGUUCAUGUCCUCCCUACAAGGGUCAUCCACUAUCCUAGACCUACCUGGAGUCUAUGUAUCAAUGGACCUCAUUAUCUUCCUUAUGUUCCCUUAAUCAUGGAGAUAUUAGCUGAGCAGUAACAGUGCAUUUGUUGUAUUUUUUUAUCAGGUAUGGAGUAGUUUUGAUUCAAUAUAGAUGCCAAUUUGGGCUUGGUAACUGAGGCAAUGGUAUGUUGAAUAUUAUUAAUUAUGUUCCUUUGUGCAG